GAAAUGUUGUUUUCUCCUUCCUCACAACUGACCCCCUCUACCCCACCCCUGGAGGUUUGUGCAGGGCUACAGGGCUCUUCUCCCAGGGGGGCUGGAGCUAUAAACAGGAGCUGUCCUCUUGGGGGUUUGUGAUCCACUGCAAUAUUUUGUUUCAGGUCUCACGCAGAUCUUCAGGUUUAUAUCCCCUAUCGUUAUGGACAUAAGUCUAUACGGUGCAGCCAGCCCCCACAAAUUAAAAUGAGAGGCAAUAAACGAAGUGUUGACCUUCUAGGAAAGAAGCAACAUUACAGUCAUAGCAUAUUUAAACAUAACCUUUAUCACAGAAGCUCGGUGCUUUGGUAAUGUUAAUUAAUUCACCUCUCCAAAAACCCAUCAAGACGAGCAAGUAUUACACAUUCACGUUACAGAUAAAAUAGAGAGGUUAAGGGCUUUCUAAAUGCCAGCUACUGAGUCAGCAGCAUAACUGAUAUGUAGAUGCAACUUUGCCUUUCCCACAGCACCAAAGUCUUCCACUACAGAAAUGAGUGCAUAGUCUAAAUGCAGCAACCUUGUGGAAACUAAGCAGGUCUGGAUCUCAUCUACAUCUGGGUGAGGAACUUCAAAUAUAUGGACUUGAGCUCUCCUUGCAUGAUUCUCCUCUUCAUUUGUGCUCCUGCUCUCCCGCAUCAUGCAAGAGGAUCAGAUAAUAAUAUCAGUGGUACUCAGUAGCAGGUGUAACCAACCCGGUUCCCUCCAGAUGUGUUGGACUACAGCUCCCAGCAGGCCUAGUCAGCAUUGCCAACAAGUACUCAGGGAUGAUGGGAGUUGUAGUCCACAACAAUCGAAGAGUUUUAUGAUGGUUACCCUUGUUCAAUAGCAUCACUGGAAUUUGUUCAUGAUGUUUGGGCCUGAUGGGUGAUCUGUUCUGUUCCACACUGCAUGCACACCCCACAAGAGAUGGAACAGUUCUAACUGGAAGACGCUGUGCAUUAUGCGCACACACUUCCAACAUGCCCAGGGGUCGCCUGAACAACUUAGCUGCCCUAUAGAUACCUAAUGAAAUGUUCUUUCCUAUGGCUCAAUGCAUGUGUGGUUUGUUCAGCAAAUUGCUUGGGUAUGAGGAAGAAGACUGUCUAAUUUCUGUGGUGUGAGGUGGGGUGGGUGUGUUCCACUAAGGCAGAGAUUCACAUGGUCUAUGUGCUGUGCCCAGAGAGAGCCUUAUUUGCACCCGCAACUUGCAGCCAAAGCAUCACACAAUGAAUUAAAUUACAACAACAUCAAGUCUAGUUCUCUUAUUACCAUUGUGCAGCAGGAAGAGCAGUCACAUCCUUGUUGCCAUUGUCCUAUUUUAGGGAUUGACCGAAUGUUGACGUGGGUUAUUAGAUAAUGAACCAGAUCUACUGAGAUCCAAUGAUAUGAUUAACCACACCGUUUCCACUCUUUCUGGAUGACCCUGCCCAAGUUCUGUGCUACGAAACUGGGAGCCUGUUAAAUCAAAGAAGAAAAUACACCAAGCGAAAACACUGACCCAGCCUUCUUAAAAUAGGUAUAUUUUAUAUUUAUAUUUUACAUACUUUACAUUUACAGGAUUUACAAAAGCUGCAUCAUUUUAUGAUCAUCAUUAUACAAAGCAGUCUCGAAA
rnacentral:lncRNA from 1 species